CAAAAAUCUCUUGUCCUCUCCCAGCACAAAUUCGAGUUCCGAGUCAGAUACGGUAUACUCCAACCAAUCUAUAACUUCUUCCGUCAGAUAGGUGACCGACAACUCUUCUCCCGACCAAUUAUCUUCAGUAUCCGUCACGGCUUUGAGAUGCCAUGGACGUCCAUGCCACCUCUUCGGAUCUCGCCUGAGGACUCGUGUUCUCCAGUCAUUCCACGAAAGCCUGACUGUGAUGCUUUCAGCCUUUCGGCCUUCUCGGCUAUUUCACUCUCUGACGCAUAAUUUCCUGUCAUUCCCCGAACGCCCGAAAUUGAUGCUAAUGGUCCCUCAUUAUUUCCCCUCCUUUGGGGACAUCGGCUUAUAACGUGUUUCUCUUUCCCGCAAUUAUAGCACCGACUGGGUUCAACGUGUUUGCAUUCCUGGCCGCCUCCACCAGUGUCUGUCUUUGUUUUAUGAUAUAUUAUAUCUCUAAAUCUUCAAAUAUCCAGCUGAACUUAUAUGCAACCUAAAUUUGAGAUAAUUUCCUAAUGCGACGCUUAACCAAUUCCUUAACUUAAAGAUCUGACCGGGUAAACGAAUUCCUUGAUUAACUAAUUCCUCAAAAAAAGAAGAAAAAAAUGGAUUGCUGUGAAAUAAUGUUCUAAUAUAUUCUAAUAUAAAGAUAUGAAAAGGUUGGAUAUGAGUCGCAGCUGGAUAUUCGAAUAUUUCGAGAUACAUUUUAUCAUUAGACCAAGGCAGACACCGGAUCGUUGUGGACGGCCAGGAAUGCAAACUAGAAGAAUUCCCCAGCACCAGGUAGAACCCGGUCGGUGCUACCAUUGCGGGUGAGUGUCACGUUAUAAGCCGAUGUCCCCAAAAGAGGACAAAUGAUGAGGGACCUAGAGAAUCGAUGUCGGGCGUUCGGAGAAUGACAGGAAACCAUGCGCCAGCGAGUAAAUAGCCGAGAAAGCAGAAAGGCCUAAAGCAUCAACGUCAGACAUUGGUGGAAUGACUGGAGAACACGAGUCUCCAGGCGAGAUCCCAAGAGGUGGCAUGGAUACCCGGGAAGUCGGGUGGAAUAGAUAAGGGGGACCCAUAAGUGGAAAGAGGAAUAUGGGAUGACCCCACACCCGCUGGAUUGGGUCAAGAGGGAUGAGUGAAAUUGAUAAUUGAUCGGGAGAAGAGUUGUCGGCCACCUAUCUGACGGAAGAAGUUGUAGAUUGGUUGGAGUAUGCCGUAUCUGACUCAGAACUCGAGUUGGCGAUGUGGGAAGACAAGGAAAUUUUGUAAAGGAAGAGUUGUGGUAAA